rnacentral:rRNA from 1 species
GCGGCCUAUCAGCUUGUUGGUGAGGUAAUGGCUCACCAAGGCGACGACGGGUAGCCGGCCUGAGAGGGCGACCGGCCACACUGGGACUGAGACACGGCCCAGACUCCUACGGGAGGCAGCAGUGAGGAAUAUUGGGCAAUGGAGGGAACUCUGACCCAGCGACGCCGCGUGCGGGAUGAAGGCCUUCGGGUUGUAAACCGCUUUCAGCAAGGAAGAAGCGAAAGUGACGGUACUUGCAGAAGAAGCACCGGCUAACUAUGUGCCAGCAGCCGCGGUAAUACAUAGGGUGCAAGCGUUGUCCGGAAUUAUUGGGCGUAAAGAGCUCGUAGGUGGUUCGUCACGUCGGAUGUGAAAAUCUGGGGCUUAACCCCAGACCUGCAUUCGAUACGGGCGAGCUAGAGUGUGGUAGGGGAGACUGGAAUUCCU